GCACAAAGUCCCUUGAGGAAGAAAAGAGCUAUAGCUCAGGUGAUUCCGGCUCCGAGAGAAGAAUCACACAAUAAUAGAUCAUCAGAGCCUGACCGAACCGAUGAUACCGAACCUGAGAUAAUUCAAGACAGAUCACCCCACAUUGCGGACAAUGCUGCUAACUGGACUGAUACACAAAUAAAUGACUGGGAAAGAGCCAGUUGG